rnacentral:snRNA from 1 species
AUACUUACCUGGCAGGGGAGAGACACCAUGAUCAAGAAGGUGGUUCACCCACGGUGAGACUCAGCCAUAGCACUCCGAACCAAACUGAGAGACCAUUUUGAAGGCUCAGGAAACCUCUGCAGGUGUUUUGAGUUGAUUAGCUGAUUGGCAUGUCACCAUAUUCUAAUU